UACGGGGGGGGGCAAGCGUUGUUCGGAAUUACUGGGCGUAAAGGGCUCGUAGGCGGCCAUACAGGUCAGCUGUGAAAACUCGAGGCUCAACCUCGAGACGUCGGUUGAAACCGUAUGGCUAGAGUCCGGAAGAGGAGAGUGGAAUUCCCGGUGUAGCGGUGAAAUGCGCAGAUAUCGGGAAGAACACCUAUGGCGAAGGCAGCUCUCUGGGACGGUACUGACGCUGAGACGCGAAAGCGUGGGGAGCAAACAGG
rnacentral:rRNA from 1 species